rnacentral:rRNA from 1 species
AUUGAACGCUGGCGGCAGGCCUAACACAUGCAAGUCGAACGAGUGGCGGACGGGUGAGUAAUGUCUGGGAAACUGCCCGAUGGAGGGGGAUAACUACUGGAAACGGUAGCUAAUACCGCAUACCAUCGGAUGUGCCCAGAUGGGAUUAGCUAGUAGGUGGGGUAACGGCUCACCUAGGCCACGAUCCCUAGCUGGUCUGAGAGGAUGACCAGCCACACUGGAACUGAGAAACGGUCAAGACUCCUACGGGAGGAAGCAGAGGGGAAUAUUGCACAAGGGGCGCAAGCCGGAUGCAGCCAUGCCGCGUGGAUGAAGAAGGCCUUCGGGUUGUAAAGUACUUUCAGCGAGGAGGCGUUACUCGCAGAAGAAGCAACGGCUAACUCCGUGCCAGCAGCCGCGGUAAUUC